rnacentral:rRNA from 1 species
AGAUUAAGUUAUUAAGGGCGCACGGUGGAUGCCUUGGCACUAGAAGCCGAUGAAGGACGUUACUAACGACGAUAUGCUUUGGGGAGCUGUAAGUAAGCUUUGAUCCAGAGAUUUCCGAAUGGGGAAACCCAGCAUGAGUUAUGUCAUGUUAUCGAUAUGUGAAUACAUAGCAUAUCAGAAGGCACACCCGGAGAACUGAAACAUCUUAGUACCCGGAGGAAGAGAAAGAAAAUUCGAUUCCCUUAGUAGCGGCGAGCGAAACGGGAAGAGCCCAAACCAAAAAGCUUGCUUGUUGGGGUUGUAGGACACUCUAUACGGAGUUACAAAGGACGACAUUAGACGAAUCAUCUGGAAAGAUGAAUCAAAGAAGGUAAUAAUCCUGUAGUCGAAAAUGUUGUCUCUCUUGAGUGGAUCCUGAGUACGACGGAGCACGUGAAAUUCCGUCGGAAUCUGGGAGGACCAUCUCCUAAGGCUAAAUACUCUCUAGUGACCGAUAGUGAACCAGUACCGUGAGGGAAAGGUGAAAAGCACCCCGGAAGGGGAGUGAAAUAGAACCUGAAACCGUGUGCUUACAAGUAGUCAGAGCCCGUUAAUGGGUGAUGGCGUGCCUUUUGUAGAAUGAACCGGCGAGUUACGAUUUGAUGCAAGGUUAAGCAGUAAAUGUGGAGCCGUAGCGAAAGCGAGUCUGAAUAGGGCGUUUAGUAUUUGGUCGUAGACCCGAAACCAGGUGAUCUACCCUUGGUCAGGUUGAAGUUCAGGUAACACUGAAUGGAGGACCGAACCGACUUACGUUGAAAAGUGAGCGGAUGAACUGAGGGUAGCGGAGAAAUUCCAAUCGAACCUGGAGAUAGCUGGUUCUCUCCGAAAUAGCUUUAGGGC